GAAAUGCGAUAAGUAAUGUGAAUUACAGAAUUCAGUGAAUCAUCGAAUCUUUGAACGCACCUUGCGCUCCUUGGUAUUCCUUGGAGCAUGCCUGUUUGAGUAUCAUGAAAUCUUCAAAGUAAAUCUUUUGUUAACUCAAUUGGUUUCUACUUUGGUAUUGGAGGUCUUUGCAGCUUCACACCUGCUCCUCUUUGUUCAUUAGCUGGAUCUCAGUGUUAUGCUUGGUUCCACUUGGCGUGAUAAGUUAUCUAUCGCUGAGGACACUGUAAAAGGUGGCCAAGGUAAAUGCAGAUGAACCGCUUCUAAUAGUCCAUUGACUUGGACAAUACUUUUAUGAUCUGAUCUCAAAUCAGGUAGGACUACCCGCUGAACUUAAGC
rnacentral:misc_RNA from 1 species